GAAUUCUUCCACAUAAUAUUCAGGACCAGAGUCAAGAUCUCAACCUCUGUACAUCCUGCCAUCCUGACAAGUUUUUCUCCCAUGUCCGAGAUGGCCUUAACUUUGGUACACAGAUUGGCUUCAUAUCAAUUAGAGAAUGAGGUACUUGAUUGGAUUUUUGAAUAACUGCUUCCUGCCUCCUUCCAAAUUGACAGCAAGAGAGAAAUUUAGCUGAUUGCUUUAUGUAAAAACCAAGAAGAUUACAGUGGAGAAUCCAUCUUUAGGGAUCCCUGUCGAUCUCAAGCAUUUCUUGAUAGGUUUCUUGAACUUUUACGGUACAGAACAAUGAUAAUUUCUAGUAACUUAAGGUUUGUUUUUAAUCUAAGCACUGUUACUAACUGCAUGUUGACGAUUGCCAUUUAUUAAUAGGAGAAAUUAAGGUAAUAAAUCAUGGAACAAC